rnacentral:rRNA from 1 species
AGAGUUUGAUCCUGGCUCAGGAUGAACGCUGGCGGCGUGCCUAACACAUGCAAGUCGAACGGAGUUCUUGAGGAAUGCGGCUUCGGCCAAAUGACUUUUGAACUUAGUGGCGGACGGGUGAGUAACGCGUGAGCAACCUGCCUUUCAGAGGGGGAUAACAUUUGGAAACAGAUGCUAAUACCGCAUAAGAUUACAGUACCGCAUGAUACAGUGAUCAAAGGAGCAAUCCGCUGAAAGAUGGGCUCGCGUCCGAUUAGAUAGUUGGUGAGGUAACGGCUCACCAAGUCGACGAUCGGUAGCCGGACUGAGAGGUUGAACGGCCACAUUGGGACUGAGACACGGCCCAGACUCCUACGGGAGGCAGCAGUGGGGAAUAUUGCACAAUGGGGGAAACCCUGAUGCAGCGACGCCGCGUGGAGGAAGAAGGUCUUCGGAUUGUAAACUCCUGUUGUUGAGGAAGAUAAUGACGGUACUCAACAAGGAAGUGACGGCUAACUACGUGCCAGCAGCCGCGGUAAAACGUAGGUCACAAGCGUUGUCCGGAAUUACUGGGUGUAAAGGGAGCGCAGGCGGGAAGACAAGUUGGAAGUGAAAUCCAUGGGCUCAACCCAUGAACUGCUUUCAAAACUGUUUUUCUUGAGUAGUGCAGAGGUAGGCGGAAUUCCCGGUGUAGCGGUGGAAUGCGUAGAUAUCGGGAGGAACACCAGUGGCGAAGGCGGCCUACUGGGCACCAACUGACGCUGAGGCUCGAAAGUGUGGGUAGCAAACAGGAUUAGAUACCCUGGUAGUCCACACUGUAAACGAUGAUUACUAGGUGUUGGAGGAUUGACCCCUUCAGUGCCGCAGUUAACACAAUAAGUAAUCCACCUGGGGAGUACGACCGCAAGGUUGAAACUCAAAGGAAUUGACGGGGGCCCGCACAAGCAGUGGAGUAUGUGGUUUAAUUCGACGCAACGCGAAGAACCUUACCAAGUCUUGACAUCCUGCGACGGUGCUGGAAACAGUACUUUCCUUCGGGACGCAGAGACAGGUGGUGCAUGGUUGUCGUCAGCUCGUGUCGUGAGAUGUUGGGU